AACGAACGCUGUGUCGCAGGCUUAAAGAAGCAAGUCGAGCGGGCGUAGCAAUACGUCAGCGGCAGACUGGUGAGUAACGCGUGGGAACGUACCUUUUGGUUCGGAACAACACAGGGAAACUUGUGCUAAUACCGGAUAAGCCCUUACGGGGAAAGAUUUAUCGCCGAAAGAUCGGCCCGCGUCUGAUUAGCUAGUUGGUGAGAUAAUGGCUCACCAAGGCGACGAUCAGUAGCUGGUCUGAGAGGAUGAUCAGCCACAUUGGGACUGAGACACGGCCCAAACUCCUACGGGAGGCAGCAGUGGG
rnacentral:rRNA from 1 species